rnacentral:rRNA from 1 species
GAUGAACGCUGGCGGCGUGCCUAAUACAUGCAAGUCGAACGAAAGGACGAGAAGCUUGCGUCUUUGACGUUAGCGGAGGGCGGGUGAGUAACACGUGGAUAACCUACUUAUAAGACUGGGAUAACUUCGGGAAACCGGAUCUAAUACCGGAUAAUAUUUUGAACCGCAUGGUUCAAAGGAAAAAGACGGUCUUGCUGUCACUUAUAGAUGGAUACGGGCUGCAUUAGCUGGUUGGGAAGGUAAAGGCCUACCAAGGCUACGAUGCCUAUCCGACCGGACGGGGUGAUCGGCCACACUGGAACUUAGCCACGGUCCAGGCUCCUGCGGGAGGGCGCAGUCGGGAAUCUGACGCAAUGGGCGAGAGUCUGACGGAGCAACGCGGCGUGAGUUAUGAAGGUCUUCGGUUCGGAAAACUCUGUUAUGAGGGAAGAACCUAUUUGGAAUUAGCUGUGGACUUAGUGACGGUACCGAAUCAGAAAGCACCGGCUAACUACGUG